UACGUAGGGGGCAAGCGUUGUCCGGAUUUAUUGGGCGUAAAGCGCUCGCAGGUGGUCCGUCGCGUCGUGCGUGAAAGCCCCCGGCUCAACUGGGGAGGGUCAUUCGAUACUGUCCGACUCGAAGGCAGGAGAGGGAAGCGGAAUUCCCGGUGUAGUGGUGAAAUGCGUAGAUAUCGGGAGGAACACCAGUGGCGAAGGCGGCUUUCUGGCCUGUUCUUGACGCUGAGGCGCGAAAGCUAGGGGAGCGAACGGG
rnacentral:rRNA from 1 species